AUUUUGUCUACAGCCACGCCACCCUGAACAAGCCCGAUCCCGUCUGAUCUCAGAAGCUGAGCAGGGUCGGGCCUGGUUAGUCCUUGGAUGGG
rnacentral:miRNA from 1 species